UUAUUUUAGUUUCAAUCUUAUUAUUAUUUUUGCAUAAAGUUUCAAAAAUUAUUAGGUUGCUUAAGAGCUCGAUCUUCUGUUGGAUUUUGUUUUCAUGACUAUGCCCAAUUUUUUUGCUGGUUAUCGAUUCAACUCCAAAAUGGGGUUUUCUUUCUCCUUUAAGUUUACGAUCAACGCUGAACUUGUCUACAAAUUCAUACCUUUCUUUCAAGUUCAAAACUUGCGUUGCAAGUAUCCUUCAGAAAAGAAAAAAAUUGCAUUGCAAGUAUAAGGAAAAGGUAGCACAGGACUGUCAACUUCCUCAUGAAGUGUUAGAAUUCGUUUUCAAGAAACUAGAUUUCGAUGAUCUCUUUCAAUUUCUGGUGUGUGCAAGAGCUGGAGGAAAUUUCAUAAAAUUUACUGCAGAAAUUUUCUGGGUUCCCAAGAACCAUUACUUUUCCAAACUUCUUUAUAUGCUUAGAAUGAUUAUUCUUUCUAUAGCAUACCUGACCAAAGAGCUUACUGCUUGAAGAUGGAUUGCUUAUGGGGAUUUUCCUAUUCAGGGUCUUCUAGUGGAUAUCUAAUUAUGGCAGGUGCUAAUGGUACACUUUUGCUGAUGAACCCUUUUACAAGAAGAAAGAAGGUAAUCAAUACCACAUCGCUUCAAGGUACAUUAUCUAAUUUGGGUUGCCAUGCCUUACUUGCUUUUGUCAAAGGUUCUGAAGAGUUUGUCAUAGUGGCUUCGUGUACAAGUUAUCACGGUUUGCAUGUAUAUCAAUCUCACAAUUCUGGUUGGGUUACUUUUUCGAUAAGGGGAGAUACAUGGUAUGUUGUGGACUUUGUGGUUUUACAUAAAACUAUAUACAUUAUCACUGAAAAGGCCUACAUAGGAGUAUUCAACAUAAAUUCUACAAAUAUAAAAUUUCUAGAAUUGAAGAAUACUCCCACGAUAUUUUGAUCGCACCUUAGGUUGGCUAGUUGUGACAAGCAGCUUCUAGUGGUUCAUUUUGAACCUGAGAAAGUAUUGGACGUGUAUAAGAUAGACUUCUUAACCAUGAAUUAUGUCAAGCUGGAAACUUUGGGUGACAUUGCGUUUUUCUAUUCUUUGUGGACAAACUGUCGUGUGCUGAGCAACCUGGGCAGGUGGAGAUAUGAGAGCAAUUCUAUGUAUUGCAUAUGUUCAUUUGCAGAAUGUCAUGUGUAUUCAGGGGAUGAUAACAAACUGCAAAAAUGUAUAGUACCUUUUGAUAGUCUUCAACCUCCUAGUAAAUCAAGCUUCUACUGGCUGAUUGGUGUUUUCCGCAUCUACGUGAUGAGGUAGAUUAUUCUCCAGUUGCUUAAUGGACAAUGUGUAGCUUGUAAUCUUUGUGAUUGAACCUUGUUCAUUUUUGUUGGCCAAUAAUUUGACUAAACUGGAAUAUUAUUCAUGGUUUAUUUUUUUUGAUUCA